UACGGAAGGGGCAAGCGUUGUUCGGAAUCCUUGGGCGUAAAGGGCGCGUAGGUGGUUCUGUAUGUCUACCGUGAAAGCAUACAGCUCAACUGUAUUUUGUCGGUAGAAACUGCAGGACUUGAGGCUGGGAGGGGCUGGUGGAAUUCCCUGUGUAGCGGUGAAAUGCGUAGAGAUGGGGGAGAACACUCGUGGCGAAGGCGGCCAGCUAGACCAGUUCUGACACUGAGGCGCGACAGCGUGGGGAGCAAACAGG
rnacentral:rRNA from 1 species